UACGUAGGGUGCAAGCGUUAAUCGGAAUUACUGGGCGUAAAGCGUGCGCAGGCGGUUGUGCAAGACCGAUGUGAAAUCCCCGGGCUUAACCUGGGAAUGGCAUUGGUGACUGCACGGCUAGAGUGUGUCAGAGGGGGGUAGAAUUCCACGUGUAGCAGUGAAAUGCGUAGAGAUGUGGGAGGAAUACCGAUGGCGAAGGCAGCCCCCUGGGAUAACACUGACGCUCAUGCACGAAAGCGUGGGGAGCAAACAGG
rnacentral:rRNA from 1 species